ensembl:lncRNA novel transcript, antisense to CCSER1
CUUCUUUGGGAAAAAAGCCUUUGUAACUCUUCUUUCUUCUUCCUGCCUAGGACCCAUGUGCACAGGCUUAGAUGUGCAACAGCCAUAUCUAAUUACAAUAAUGGCAAGAGCCACCUACUAUGCUGGUGAAACAAGAAGACAGAAAAAGAGGACCACUGCUAACCCAUUUGACACCUGUGGAAUUAGAAAUAAGUGCUAUAGAAACCUGAGGGACACACAGGGAAAUCAGAAGACUAAGUGGAGAAGGGAGAAUCACAGACUGGGUUUUGUAUUAGAAAAAAUUAUCCAGAAGCUGAUACCGUCUGUCUUAAUUACCAUCUGUUAAUUUCCUUACCAAGUUCUGGAGAUUAAAAAUGGACACUGGAGGAACCUAAA